rnacentral:snRNA from 1 species
AACCGUGUAGUGACAAUAUCGUAACCAAUGAAGGGCUCCUGAGGUGCGAUUAUUGCUAGUGGAAAACUCG